GCUGGGCGUGGUGGCGUGUGCCUGUAAUCCCAGCUACUCAGGAGGCUGAGGCACGAGAAUCACUUGAACUCAGGAGGCGGAAGUUGCAGUGAGCCAAAAUUGUGCCACUGCACUCCAGCCUGGGUGACAGAGUGAGACUCUGUCUCAA
rnacentral:SRP_RNA from 1 species